UACGUAGGCAGCAAACGUUGUUCGGAAUUACUGGGCGUAAAGAGUGUGUAGGCGGUUCUGUAAGUUUGGUGUGAAAUCUCCUGGCUUAACUGGGAGGGUGCGCCGAAAACUGCAAGGCUUGAGUACUGGAGAGGAUAGCGGAAUUCCUGGUGUAGCGGUGAAAUGCGUAGAUAUCAGGAGGAACACCGGCGGUGUAGACGGCUGUCUGGACAGUAACUGACGCUGAGACACGAAAGCGUGGGGAGCAAACAGG
rnacentral:rRNA from 1 species